CUUACAUCACCUGAGACGUGUUGCAGAGAGGAAGGAAGAGAAUAAAAUGUCUCUGAGUAAUUUGGCUACAGUGUUUGGCCCCAGCCUCUUGCGCCCCCCAGUGGCUCGUGUCGACAUAUCUCAAGAAGUGGUGGUUCAGGUUCAGGUGAUUUUUCUCUAUCUGCAGUGUCAGAACCUUCCAGAAGCUCUUCUCACAAAACAUCUGGACAUUGAUGAGCUAGAGACAUGAGCCUUCUACAACCAGACUCCUUUUCUGUCUGCGUAUCCAUGGUCGUCUGUAAAUUUGUAAAAAUUCUGUUUA